AGGAGACAGUAUCAUCUAAGGAUAUCUUUGUGGGUACAAGAACAAGAAAACCUGGGCGAUCAUACAAGGCCUCAAAUGAAGAUACUACUAGUAAAAUUGCUGAAAUGGAGCAAAUUGAAAAACAAAUAAGCAUAAAUGGUGAGUAUGUUGAUGCAUUUUCAAGCGUCAUGGGUCCUGAACAUCCGGGACGUCUAAGACUAUAUGGCGCAGGAGUUACAAAGACUACUUUGAAAAAAAAGUUGGCAAUUGGGAAUCAACUUUAAGUGCAACAACUGAUGGAAUGCAUGAAAUGCAAGAGAGGAUGCAGAAAAUGGAGAAACAAAUGGAGGAACAAAAGAAAAUUGUGCGACAAGAAGUUAUUGCAGAUGUUAUUGCACAACUUAAGCAUGCGGAUUAAUUGAUCCUAACAUAUUGGCAGCAUUGUCGACUCCUUCACCAAGAGAAUCUACUUCUGUUCAAGGGGAUAAACAAGGUGACGAAAUCGAAGAAGACAAUGAAAGCAAUAGUGAAGACUUGACAUAGGAGCUGAAGUAUAUAUGGCAUGUGUUUCACCUUUUUUGAAUGCUUUAUAAUGAUUUGUACAUUUUGCUUUAAUUGAUAUUAGAAUCACGGAUCUUG